rnacentral:rRNA from 1 species
AGAACGAACGCUGGCGGCAUGCCUAACACAUGCAAGUCGAACGCUUCCGGGGCUUCGGUCGCGGAGGAGUGGCGCACGGGUGAGUAGCGCGUGGGAACCUGCCCUGUUGUGGGGGAUAACCGAGGGAAACUUCGGCUAAUACCGCAUACGCCCCGGGACUUGGUCUUCGGAUUAGGUCUGGGGGGAAAGAUUGAUCGCAGCAGGAGGGGCCCGCGUCGGAUUAGCUGGUUGGUGGGGUAACGGCUCACCAAGGCGAUGAUCCGUAGCUGGUCUGAGAGGAUGAUCAGCCACACUGGGACUGAGACACGGCCCAGACUCCUACGGGAGGCAGCAGUGGGGAAUAUUGGACAAUGGGGGCAACCCUGAUCCAGCAAUGCCGCGUGAGUGAUGAAGGCCUUAGGGUUGUAAAGCUCUUUCGCCCGCGACGAUGAUGACGGUAGCGGGAGAAGAAGCCCCGGCUAACGUUCGUGCCAGCAGCCGCGGU